rnacentral:rRNA from 1 species
UACGAAGGGGGGCGAGCGUUAUUCGGAAUCACUGGGCGUAAAGCGUGCGUAGGCCGUCUAGCAAGUUGGAAGUGAAAGCCCAGGGCUCAACCCUGGAAUUGCUUUCAAAACUGCAAGACUAGAAUCUCGGAGAGGAUAGCGGAAUUCCCAGUGUAGUAGUGAAAUACGUAGAUAUUGGGAGGAACACCAGUGGCGCAAGCGGCUAUCUGGACGAGUAUUGACGCUGAGGCACGAAAGCGUGGGGAUCAAACAGG